rnacentral:rRNA from 1 species
AUGUGGACUAUCUCUGCGAUGUCUUCAUCACCACCAAGCAUCGACACAUUCCCUUCCCCAAGAAAGGCGAACUUCAGGGUUGCAGGACGCCUUGGCCUCGUCCAUGGCUACGUGUGCGGGCCUAUCAUCCCCUCAACCCACGGCAACUACGGUGGUUGUCGCUAUUUCCUGCUAUUGGUUGAUGACUGCACCCGCUGCAUGUGGGUAGUCUUCCUAGCAGGAAAAUGGGAUGCUGCUGCUUCAAUUCAACGAGUCCAAGCAGCAGCUGAAGCAGAGUGUGGUCGUCCACUCCAUGUCUUCCGCACCGACAACGGUGGCGAAUUCACCUCGCUGGAGUUUGUACACCAUUGCGAGGAGCAAAGUGUGCAAGCCAGUUCACGGCUCCCUACUCCCCACAGCAGAAUGGAGUAA